AACCUUUAGAUAUACAAAUAUUAAAGGCAACGCCUGCCCAGUGAACAAUUAAACGGCCGCGGUACCCUAACCGUGCAAAGGUAGCAUAAUCAUUUGUCUACUAAUUAUAGACCUGUAUGAAAGGCAAAAUGAGGGUCUGACUGUCUCUUAUAAUAAAUCAAUGAAACUGAUCUUCUAGUAAAAAAGCUAGAAUAUUCCCAUAAGACCAGAAGACCCUGUGAAGCUUAAACUAAACUAUUAAAACACAUAAUAACUAAUUUCGGUUGGGGCGACCUUGGAAAAAAAAAGAACUUCCAAACAACAUGAAUCCUACUUCAUUAAUACAGGCCUACAAGCCAAUUAAACGACCCAGCACAGCUGAAAAUCGAACAAAGUUACUCCAGGGAUAACAGCGCAAUCUUCUUCAAGAGCCCAUAUCAAAAAGAAGGUUUACGACCUCGAUGUUGGAUCAGGACAUCCUGACGGUGCAGCCGCUGUCGAGGGUUCGUUUGUUCAACGAUUAAGUCCU
rnacentral:rRNA from 1 species